UUUUCCUUACUUUUCUCACUAUUGUUUACUAUUGUUCAUUCUUAUCCCCAUCUCUAUUUCCGCGUGACACUCAUUCUCUUUUCCAGCUUUCAUAUGUUAGUGUAAUGUUGUCUUAACCUAAUCCCUAGCACUGGGUAAGUAUUUUUAUGGCAUAUUUUCCUACACACUAAAUACAAAUAAUACAAAAAUAACGAAUAAACGACGCUAACGGUAACACUACCCUACACUCCCCCUAGAAAAUAAACCAGAAUGGUUUAUUUUUAUUUAAACGGUUAGCUCUUCUAAAUAACCCAGGUUUGAGUUAGCAUCUUUAUAUGCAGAUCUCGACUCUUGUGAAAAAGGCAUUUCUGACACGUAUUUUACCAAAUAGAUGAUUCAUUCAACUAGCUGAAUAUAUCAGUAUUUUACGCGUUUACCCUAUCAUUUCUCUCUUGGAGUUUUCAAAUCUGCUAUCUUGCAGAUGAGAACUCAUCUCUUCUUUAGCACUCACUGAUAAAGUCUCUCUAGCCUCACAAUAGGAAUUUAUCUCCUAAAUUCCAUUGUAGCGAAAGUGGUGUUAUCAUCGUGAACAAGUCGUGGCUGAUUAAAUAAUUAAUGAAAAGGGAAUACCGUACACUGUCGCAUCCUAUAAAAGUGCUUAGAUUAACCGGUUUUGAAAAACAUCUAAUGGAAUGUCUAUCUUAUCAUUUGGCGGUUUUAUUCAACCCUGAUCAGCUCAAGACUAGACAAGAAGCUACUUUUCUAGGAAACAAGAGACGCACAGGACAAAAAUAUAAUCUGACUUUAACCAUUCACAAACACCGCGGACUCCAAUCGACUCAAUCUCUAACAUGCGAAAAAUACUAUUAUCAAGGAUCGUCGACACCUGGUUUCAGAUCGGCUGCUGAAAAUACACCUAAAUUUUUCCCGUUGUCAUCGACGAGCUCGUAAGAAUUAGUGCCUCUUCUAGAAACCACUGUGCAUGGAACAUACGCUGGACCUAAUUUGGCAUUAUAGGCGUUUCCUGCGGAAGAUAAUGCAAAAUUUCUACGGAACACAUUCUGACCAACAUGGCUUUCGCAAGAUUUCGACGAACAAUUUCGAAAAUGGAUUGGUCAAUAUUCUGUUUACGGUUUACUCGGUCUGAAGGCGAUAUUUCAUCUCUAUCCACCUCCCGAAGAUGCUCGUCUCCAUUCGAAACUAUUUCAUGCCCGAAUAGUACCC